rnacentral:miRNA from 15 species
GUGAGUUAGAUCUCAUAUCCUU